GGGGGAGUAGCUCCGCGGUAGAGCGUCCACUUUGCAUAUGGAAGGUCCAGGGUUGGAAUCCCUGCUUGUCCA
rnacentral:tRNA from 1 species